AUUCAUAACCCUGUUGGGCAUUUGAUUUGAAAUCAGAUUGAUUGUUUUUAUUAACAAUAUGAGUU
rnacentral:tRNA from 1 species